ACCAACAUCCUUGUGUGCACGUUUACUAUUGCUACCUGGGAAGGUUUAAACCAGAUUGGCAAGGUGUUUAGAUCCAAUGCAGUAUGAGGCAGUUGGGAGGCUGGAAGUCAAUAAAGAAUUCAAUAACACCAAGUUCAGAAGACAGAAUAGGCAGGAGUACAGCAGGGAGCGA